rnacentral:rRNA from 1 species
AACGAACGCUGGCGGCAGGCCUAACACAUGCAAGUCGAGCGAGGCAGCAAUGCCUAGCGGCGGACGGGUGAGUAACGCGUGGGAACGUACCCUUUGGUUCGGAAUAGCCCUGGGAAACUGGGAGUAAUACCGGAUACGGUCGAGAGACGAAAGAUUUAUCGCCGAAGGAUCGGCCCGCGUUGGAUUAGGUAGUUGGUGGGGUAAUGGCCUACCAAGCCGACGAUCCAUAGCUGGUUUGAGAGGAUGAUCAGCCACACUGGGACUGAGACACGGCCCAGACUCCUACGGGAGGCAGCAGUGGGGAAUCUUAGACAAUGGGCGCAAGCCUGAUCUAGCCAUGCCGCGUGAGCGAUGAAGGCCUUAGGGUUGUAAAGCUCUUUCAGGGGGAAGAUAAUGACUGUACCCCCAGAAGAAGCCCCGGCUAACUCCGUGCCAGCCGCCGCCGUAACAC